rnacentral:rRNA from 1 species
UACGAAGGGGGCUAGCGUUGCUCGGAAUUAUUGGGCGUAAAGAGCUCGUAGGCGGCUUGUCGCGUCGGAUGUGAAAGCCCGGGGCUUAACUCCGGGUCUGCAUUCGAUACGGGCAGGCUAGAGUUCGGUAGGGGAGAUCGGAAUUCCUGGUGUAGCGGUGAAAUGCGCAGAUAUCAGGAGGAACACCGGUGGCGAAGGCGGAUCUCUGGGCCGAUACUGACGCUGAGGAGCGAAAGCGUGGGGAGCGAACAGG